CAGGCCUAACACAUGCAAGUCGAGCGGUAGCACAGAGAGCUUGCUCUCGGGUGACGAGCGGCGGACGGGUGAGUAAUGUCUGGGAAACUGCCUGAUGGAGGGGGAUAACUACUGGAAACGGUAGCUAAUACCGCAUAACGUCUUCGGACCAAAGUGGGGGACCUUCGGGCCUCAUGCCAUCAGAUGUGCCCAGAUGGGAUUAGCUAGUAGGUGGGGUAAAGGCUCACCUAGGCGACGAUCCCUAGCUGGUCUGAGAGGAUGACCAGCCACACUGGAACUGAGACACGGUCCAGACUCCUACGGGAGGCAGCAGUGGGGAAUAUUGCACAAUGGGCGCAAGCCUGAUGCAGCCAUGCCGCGUGUAUGAAGAAGGCCUUCGGGUUGUAAAGUACUUUCAGCGAGGAGGAAGGUGUUG
rnacentral:rRNA from 1 species